UUUAGUAUAGGUUCUUCCUUGUUCUUUGUUAUUAUCCAAUUCUCAGCAUCCUAAAUUCCAUUACCACAUCUAUCCUUCAUCCUUCAUUAUUCGAUUUUGUUCAUAACCAUAUCCAUAUUAUACCACCAUCUUUAUUAUUAUCAAGUAAUUUUGAUGUAGAGGAAUUAUUUACUUCGUUCUAGAUCUGAUACAAUCGAAGAGGUCCUCAAUCGACGGGCUGACUCAUAUCAUAUGGUAUCAUAACAAAGGUGAACCAAGUAAGAAAUUCAUCUUGAAAAAAAAAAGAAUUCCAAAAAUUAAAAAAGAAUUCCGAAAAUUAAAAAAAAAAAAAGUUUUAGUCUUGAGAUGAAGAGAAAUGCUAUGAUGUUGUGCUCUUCAAUGUUGAAAUGCUUUGAGCUUUGAUUCAAUCCAAAACGCAGCAUCUUUGUUUGUAUUGGUGAAAGUCUCAUUGUAAGCAUUUCUUUGUAGUAAGUUUACUAAUUAUUUUCAUCUUCUUUUCUUUAUUUUCCUUUGAAUUUUUAGCCUUCCUUUCAUUAUUUUCCAGUUUCUUUUAAUCUUUGUUGUUUCCUAUAGCCGACACACUUGACAGAUUUAUGAAAGAUCAAAUUUAGUUUGUAAAAGAACUGACUACGAGGGAACGAGUGGAAAAGGAACAUUGAGUGUGUGAGAUCAGAAGGGGAGAUAGAAAAGAGCCAUUAAAAGUUUCUCCCGAGUGAAACACGAGUGUUGAGUGAUUGAGUGUCAAUUCUGAUUUCUUUGGAGUGAAAUUGUGAGAAUCUUUGUGUGUAUAUUGUAAGGUCCUAUAUACAUUAAUUAUUUUCUUUGUGUGUUGUUUCGUUUUAUUUGAAUUAAUAUUGCAGGUUCUAGUGAUAACCAUCCAGAUGACCAACCACCAAAUUUGCAAAUGCAAGCCAUUACACGUGAGAUACAAAGGAUGAUAAGGGCUGAGCUUGAGAAUCUAUAUUCUAUAAUGGAUAAGAUUGAAGGAGAAUCCCAAACGCAUCAUAAUGAAGAGAUUAAUGAUGAAAACGAAAUUGACCAACCUCCAAGACCAACUCAGAGACAUGGACGUACACUUGAUGAUAAUUUGGCUAACAUAAAAGUUGUGAUUCCAUCUUUUCAGGGACGAACAUAUCCCGAUGCAUAUUUGGCGUAGGAGAGUAAAGUUGAGCAUGUUUUUUAGUGUUAUAAUUACUCGGAACAAAAGAAGGUUCAUUUGGCAGCAAUGGAGUUUGUUGAUUACGCUCUCAUUUGGUGGGAUCAAUUGCUGAUCAAUAGACGAAGAAUCGGUGAGGGUCCAGUGAACACGUGGACAGAAAUGAAGCGAAUCAUGAGGAAACGGGUUGAAUUUUGAAAUUGCUAACAUUGUUGAGUUACAGCAUUAUGUCGAGUUAGAUGACAUGGUGCAUAUGGCCAUCAAAAUUGAAAGACAACAGCAUAGAAAGUCUUCUUACCGAGGAACACCAAGUGCUCAGCCCCCUGAUGGUCGGUUUUUAAGGGAUGUUUUGAACCCAAUUCCAGCACAUAACACAACAAUGUGGGUUAUUAAAGAAUGUAGGACGUUUUGGCAGCUUAUGAAACAACAAGGAAGCUCCUAGAACAUGCCCAUAAAUGCACGGAUAAUGGACCAUUAUCAAACACAUUUCCAGCUCACCCAAAUCAGCACCAAAACGUGCAAUCAUUUCAUGAUAGAAUUUGAGCAUAGUGGACUUGGCUGGAAUUACAUUAGCUUUGUCCUUAUUAUGAUUCCACUGACUUGAGCAUAUGGAGAAGACCAUCCACGUGUAUUUGUUGUUGGGAGAUCCUUCAUAUAGAUUGCACAAAGACAACCCAUGUGCGUAAAGAACAAAGGCACAAAAACAACCCAUGUGCAUUGAUUCAAUCUUGUCUCCUAAUAAUGCACAUGGCCAGCACACAUUCUGUACACAAGCAAUCACUACCAGAUUUUCUAAGGACACCCAUGUGAAGCCAUAUGACCAGAAAAUAAUGGGAGAGACGUGAAACUAUAGUUGGAAGUGAUUUGAAGAAA